rnacentral:rRNA from 1 species
AUACGGAGGAUCCGAGCGUUAUCCGGAUUUAUUGGGUUUAAAGGGUGCGCAGGCGGCCAUUUAAGUCAGCGGUUAAAUCGUAGGGCUCAACCCCAUUCUGCCGUUGAUACUGGGUGGCUUGAUUGCGGUCGAGGUUGGCGGAAUUCGUUGUGUAGCGGUGAAAUGCAUAGAUAUGACGAAGAACACCGAUUGCGUAGGCAGCUGACCAGACCGCAAAUGACGCUCAUGCACGAAAGUGCGGGGAUCGAACAGGAUUAGAUACCCUGGUAGUCCGCACAGUAAACGAUGAAUACUUGUUUUCGGCGAUAUAAUGUCGGAGGCAAAGCGAAAGCGAUAAGUAUUCCACCUGGGGAGUACGCCGGCAACGGUGAAACUCAAAUGAAUUGACGGGG